UGAAGGAACUUUGACAAUCUCAGACAUCAUAAUGCAACAAGUUACCUGGACUUGGUUUAAGGUUAGGUACUUCUGAUUUGGUCUGUCAUCGGCAUCAAGAAGGUGUGACUAUAAGUGAGAGUUCCUUGCACAGCAGCAAACCAGGAGCAAGCAUCCUUAACAAAAUGGAACCAAACCUUUAUAAGAUCUCGGAAGUACUUCAACAGAAAAAAGAAAGGAAAUCAAAAGAUGCCAUCGCUGCACUGGAAAGAAGUGAACUCGCCAUGUGCUCCAUGCUGAUGGAAGACUAUGAAUAAUGAGUUCUUACAUGAAGGGAAAUGUUUUUAGUUAGAGAAAGAAACAGGAAGCCAGGGAAUGCCUUGUUUUACAUGGGAAAAGGUGAUGUAGUGCCAAAAGUUGAAUUGUUGUACAUUGUGCUGUUUAGACAUUUCCCAUUAAAAAAAAGAAAAUUUUAGCACCAUGUGACUGUAUGGUGAAAACACAGAUAGCUGGAAAUCCUACACAAAGAGUUUCAAUUAUUUUGUUUUAGCUAAUAAAGUAUAUA